UUAGGAACUAGGGGUGCUUCCAUCUGGAAGAAUCUGGAGACAGGUGCUGCAUGGCUGUCGUCAGCUCGUGUCGUGAGAUGUUGGGUUAAGUCCCGCAACGAGCGCAACCCUUGCCUUUAGUUGCCAGCAGUUCGGCUGGGCACGUCUAAAGGGACUGCCGGUGUUAAACCGGAGGAAGUGGGGAUGACGUCAAGUCCUCAUGGCCUUUAUGACCAGGGCUACACACGUACUACAAUGGCCGAUACAAAGGGCAGCGACACUGCGAGGUGAAGCCAAUCCCGUAAAAUACGGUCUCAGUCCGGAUUGGAGUCUGCAACUCGACUCCAUGAAGUUGGAAUCGCUAGUAAUCGUGGAUCAGCAUGCCACGGUGAAUACGUUCCCGGGCCUU
rnacentral:rRNA from 1 species